CCUACGGGUGGCAGCAGUGAGGAAUAUUGGUCAAUGGGCGGAAGCCUGAACCAGCCAAGCAGCGUGCAGGAUGACGGCCCCACGGGUUGUAAACUGCUUUUAUACGGGAAUAACGCGCCUUUCGUGUACGGCUUUGCAUGUACCGUAUGAAUAAGGAUCGGCUAACUCCGUGCCAGCAGCCGCGGUAAUACGGAAGGUCCGGGCGUUAUCCGGAUUUCUUGGGUUUAAAGGGGGCGUAGGCGGCAUGUGAAGCGUGCUGUAAAAUGCCCGGGCCCAACCCGGGCCUAGAAGUGCAAACUGGCGGGCUGGAGACGGCGGAAGGCAGGCGGAAUGCGUCGUGUAGCGGUGAAAUGCUUAGAUAUGGCGAAGAACCCCGAUUGCGAAGGCAGCAUGCUGCAGGGGAACUGACGCUGAGGCUCGAAAGCGCGGGUAUCGAACAGGAUUAGAUACCCCUGUAGUC
rnacentral:rRNA from 1 species